rnacentral:rRNA from 1 species
CAGUAGCCACGGUAAUACGAAGGGGGCUAGCGUUGUUCGGAAUUACUGGGCGUAAAGCGCACGUAGGCGGACAUUUAAGUCAGGGGUGAAAUCCCGGGGCUCAACCUCGGAACUGCCUUUGAUACUGGGUGUCUUGAGUGUGGAAGAGGUAAGUGGAAUUGCGAGUGUAGAGGUGAAAUUCGUAGAUAUUCGCAGGAACACCAGUGGCGAAGGCGGCUAACUGGUCCAUAACUGACGCUGAGGUGCGAAAGCGUGGGGAGCAAACAGGAUUAGAUACCCCGGUAGUCCCUGUCUCUUAUAC